CCUUCCCAGACCUCGUUUAAGAGUUGACAGGGGAGGCUAGUGUAUCUUGUUGGAGAUCUCUGCCUACCUGAGGCUUUCCCAGGCGUGCCACCAGUAUUAUACCAGAUGUGAGUUUGACAUGAUGUCCUCUAAGAUGCAUAUUUUACUGUUCAAGUGUCCUGCCACCUUUGAAGUCAUCUCAAGCACCUAGGAGGAACUGAAAUCUCAUUUACUCAAAAGAGAAAUUAAUCUUAGGCUUCCAGUUUCUAGCACUCUGAUGAUCCUUAGUAGAUGAUGGGAAGCUGGAGUAGAGAGAAAAAGAAUGAUUCCUUCUUUAUGAAGACAGAGGACGUCCUGCCCCCGCUUUUAAGAACAAGGGUCUAGACAGAUAUUUUGGUGCUACUAAGAACUAGGAUCCAGGAGCACCAAGACGAGCAGCCAGACAGCCAGUCUGAUGGAGCUCCCAGUCUGCCAAAAGCCUUUUGAGUCGGAGACUGCAGUCCUCAAACUGCUCUGCCCAGUACAAUGUCUGAAAACCUCCCAGUCCUUCAGAAUGUUUUGUCAUUUUUAUCAGCUUUACUGUAAGGAUAUGUGACAUGCUGUCAGAAGACAUACUACCAAAGUCUUGCUUCAGAUUUUGCAGCUAUUUGUGGAAACUUUCUUGUCCCAUAUCCAGUGUCAUAAAGUUCAUGUAUUUAGUGUUAGUUUAAAUAUAGCAAUGA